rnacentral:rRNA from 2 species
UAAGCGCCGGUAAGGUGAUAUGAACCGUUAUAACCGGCGAUACCCGAAUGGGGAAACCCAGUGUGACUCGUCACACUAUCAUUAACUGAAUCCAUAGGUUAAUGAGGCGAACCGGGGGAACUGAAACAUCUAAGUACCCCGAGGAAAAGAAAUCAACCGAGAUUCCCCCAGUAGCGGCGAGCGAACGGGGAGGAGCCCAGAGCCUGAAUCAGCAUGUGUGUUAGUGGAAGCGUCUGGAAAGGCGCGCGAUACAGGGUGACAGCCCCGUACACAAAAGCGCAUGUGCUGUGAGCUCGAUGAGUAGGGCGGGACACGUGGUAUCCUGUCUGAAUAUGGGGGGACCAUCCUCCAAGGCUAAAUACUCCUGACUGACCGAUAGUGAACCAGUACCGUGAGGGAAAGGCGAAAAGAACCCCGGCGAGGGGAGUGAAAAAGAACCUGAAACCGUGUACGUACAAGCAGUGGGAGCCCCACCACCAAAGCAUUUGCUGUACCGCGUUGACGGAGCGAAGCGACGUCAAACCGAUAAAACAGCAGUGUAAAGUGAGCCGCAGGGCGCUUUGCGCGACAGCGCAAAGGCAGGCGGUUUCGCGUAGCGAAAGCGAAUGCUUUGGGGUGGGGUGACUGCGUACCUUUUGUAUAAUGGGUCAGCGACUUAUAUUCUGUAGCAAGGUUAACCGAAUAGGGGAGCCGGAGGGAAACCGAGUCUUAAUUGGGCGUUAAGUUGCAGGGUAUAGACCCGAAACCCGGUGAUCUAGCCAUGGGCAGGUUGAAGGUUGGGUAACACUAACUGGAGGACCGAACCGACUAAUGUUGAAAAAUUAGCGGAUGACCUGUGGCUGGGGGUGAAAGGCCAAUCAAACCGGGAGAUAGCUGGUUCUCCCCGAAAGCUAUUUAGGUAGCGCCUCGUGAAUUCAUCUCCGGGGGUAGAGCACUGUUUCGGCUAGGGGGCCAUCCCGGCUUACCAACCCGAUGCAAACUGCGAAUACCGGAGAAUGUUAUCACGGGAGACACACGGCGGGUGCUAACGUCCGUCGUGAAGAGGGAAACAACCCAGACCGCCAGCUAAGGUCCCAAAGUCAUGGUUAAGUGGGAAACGAUGUGGGAAGGCCCAGACAGCCAGGAUGUUGGCUUAGAAGCAGCCAUCAUUUAAAGAAAGCGUAAUAGCUCACUGGUCGAGUCGGCCUGCGCGGAAGAUGUAACGGGGCUAAACCAUGCACCGAAGCUGCGGCAGCGACACUGUGUGUUGUUGGGUAGGGGAGCGUUCUGUAAGCCUGUGAAGGUGUGUCGUGAGGCAUGCUGGAGGUAUCAGAAGUGCGAAUGCUGACAUAAGUAACGAUAAAGCGGGUGAAAAGCCCGCUCGCCGGAAGACCAAGGGUUCCUGUCCAACGUUAAUCGGGGCAGGGUGAGUCGACCCCUAAGGCGAGGCCGAAAGGCGUAGUCGAUGGGAAACGGGUUAAUAUUCCCGUACUUGGUGUUACUGCGAAGGGGGGACGGAGAAGGCUAUGUUGGCCGGG